CAGCCCCUCGAGUGGUGGGGAUGAUUAUUUGGCCUAAAGCGUCCGUAGCCGGCCGUGUAAGUCUCCCGUUAAAUCCAGCGUCUCAAGCGUUGGACUGCGGGAGAUACUGCUCGGCUAGAGAGUGGGAGAGGUGUGCGGUAUUCUGGGGGUAGGGGCGAAAUCCUUUGAUCCCCGGAGGACCACCAGUGGCGAAGGCUGCACACUAGAACACGUCUGACGGUCAGGGACGAAAGCUGGGGUAGCGAUCCGGAUUAGAUACCCGAGUAGUCC
rnacentral:rRNA from 1 species